GAGACAUACAUCAUAAGAAAAAAGCAGAAACAGAAACUUUUAAAAAGAUGAAAAGCUUGAAAUAUUGGGAUUUGGUUGUUCUGGUCAGCUGGUUCUGAAAAUGCUGUUCAGUCUGACUCUCCAGGACUUCUAAAGAAUGUGUUUUUUAAGUGGAGAAGGCUGAUAAAAAACAAGUGCAGUGGCUUAGAGGCUGUGGGGAAAAAAUAUAAACAGACCUGGUUCAGAUACAUUCCAAGAUACAGAAGCCUCAGUUGAAGGAGCACUCCUAGGAACGGGAACUUAGAGAUCUCCCAGGUAGUUGGAGGAGGCCCCGCCUGUGAAGGGCUGCAUGCUGCCAGAAAGUCUGAGGGGAUUUUGGAUCUUCCUGAAGCCAUCUAUCGAUUGGACGCCCGUGUCUCCCCUGAUUUAUUUCCUGACACCGCCUUGCACAGAGUAAAAGUUACCAAGAGCUUUGGGUUGAAAGAACCCUGGGUAAGAAGAGGACUGAAUUGUAAGAAUAGGCAAGCCACUCCAGGCUCAGAGCGACAAUUGACAGAGGGUGCCAGAGCUGAAGAGAUUUGUUACACCAUGCUUGGAUAUGCAGGGGCACAGCGGAUGAUGAGUGACCCUCACUGGCCAGCAAACCAGCUAUUACACUGAUUUGCAUCCAUGAUCCUAAAUUUGUGCAAAGGUAUUGGUCUCCCCAUGAAUAUGCUGCCAGAGGUCCUUUAAUGGCAGGUAAGUUAGCAAAGCUCUGUUAUGUAGCUGCCUCAUGAUAGGAAGGCAAAAGAGCCCUUUCCCUACUCCAGCUACCAUUUUACCUUGCUUACAUUUCCUCUUUCAAGGAUAAAUUGUCAAUGUAAGCUACAAAUUUAAAUAUUCAAACUUCUAUAGCUGUCCAAAAUG